rnacentral:RNase_P_RNA from 1 species
UUAAGACCAAGUUUGCGCCUAGAUAAGCACUAAAAGCGAAAGCUCAAUUAUCUGGGAAGGUCUGAGGUGCCCGUCACCCGAGAGGGGAUGCAUGAAAAUGCAGAAAUGGCCAACAGAAACAAACCAGUUACUGUGUUGAAAGGGUCAUAAGGCAUGAUUCUUAGUACAAUGCGCAAAGGCUGAAAGGCUAACUCAAUUCAGACUACUCUGGUCUUAA